rnacentral:rRNA from 1 species
UGCCAGCAUCCUCGGUAAGACAGAGGGUGCAAACGUUGCUCGGAAUUACUGAGCGUAAAGCGCGUGUAAACGGUUCGUUAAAUUGGCUGUGAAAACCCUCGGCUCAACCGAGGAAGUGCAGCCAAUACUGACGAACUUGAGUUCUAAAGAGGGUGACGGAAUGCGCAGUGUAAAGGUGAAAUUCGUAGAUAUUGCGUAGAACACCCGUGGCGAAGACGGCCACCUGGACAGAUACUGACGCUGAGACGCGAAAGCGUGGGGAGCAAACAGGAUUAGAUA